rnacentral:lncRNA from 1 species
CUCCUCUCUCUACAUAUGGCUUUUCCUCUAUCUUCUGAUUCAUGGUCACUUCUUCCUCACACUUGGAUCGAUCUCUCCUUCCUCUCCACUUCUUCUAGAUCCUCUUGUCUUUAAUUUUUUUUGUGCUGGAGUUUGUCCACCAUAGUGCCGCUAACUUGAUAGUCAUGGAUACCCCACAUCUAGUGAACCGAUUAUAAUCUUGAAUCUUGUUGACCUUUGCCUUUUCAUCCAAAAUAAUCGAUAUGUCAUGUAACCAUCAUAACCUAUUAUCUUCUUAAUCUUCCAUCAAAAUGUAUCCACUUUCUUUUAAUAAUUAAAUUUGAAAAGAUUCGAUUCCUAAAUAUAUCUUUAGGAUUAUUAUAUGUACUUGGUAUUGGUGUAUUAAACUCGGUUAUUGAUCUUUCACUUUUAGUACUUAUGGUUGCUGUUAAUCUAAAUAUAGAUUAUAUUGUUGCUGAAAUUUACUUUAUUUCUUACGUUAGGCUCUUAAGUUUAACUUAAAAUAUCUUAUUAAAUUUAGAUUCAAAAUAUAAGAUUGCACUUUAUCCUUUAAAGCCCUCUUUCCACUGCACUCCUAUAAUAAAGUGGCUGCAACUUUACAACAACACUUG